GGUGAAGUUAGAGGUAUAGCUGUGUGACGAGUGUAAAGGCCUGUUUCUUUAAAUCACAGAAGAGUUCAGACAUGAGUAAUAUAGACCCAUGCAGAAAAAAAACAAAUGAAGAUACUGCAGAACAAAGAGACCUAAUGAAACUUGAAGAAACAUUGGGAUCAGAAAUAUCUUCUGGUUGUUUUCAAAAGCAAAAUACUUUCCUUCCCAAAAGAAAGCAAAAAAUGGAAUCCCACAAAUCUUUUACUUGCUCUCGUUGUGGAAAGAGAUUUGGAAGUAAAGGGACCCUUGUGAAGCACAAAAGAACUCACACUGAAGAAAAGCCUUUCACCUGCACUCAGUGUGGAAAAGAAUUCACAAGAAAACUACAACUGACCGAACACAUGAGAGUUCACACUGGAGAAAAGCCAUACGCAUGUCUUCAGUGUGGAAAGAGUUUCAGACACAAAGGUACUCAUGAUAGCCACAUGAGACUUCACACUGGAGAAAAACCAUACGCAUGUCCUCAGUGUGGAAAGAGCUUCAGAUUCAAUAAUAAUCUUAAAAGCCACAUGAGAGUUCACACUGGAGAGUGUCCGUACACCUGUCUGCGGUGUGGAAAGAGCUUUGCACUAAAAAGUACUCUUGAUAACCACAUGACAGUUCACACUGGAGUAAAGGCAUACAUAUGUCCUCAGUGUGGAAAAAGUUUUACUCAAAAAAAAAUAUCUUGAUCGCCACAUGAGAGCUCACACUGGAGUGCACCCAUACGCAUGUUUUGACUGUGAAAAGUGUUUUACGAGGAUAUCCAGUCUUACUGUUCACAUGAGAAUUCACAUUGAAGUGCGCUCGUGACCAUGUGUUUAGUGUUAAAGGAUAUUCACACAAUCAGUGUUUAGAUUGUCUUACAUCUGUGAGUCUGGAAUUGUGUGUUUGUGUUUUUUUAAAUGCAUGCUGUGGUUUCAUAAUACAUGUAUACAUAUUUAUUUCAUAUGAACACAGUAUGAUGAGUUAAUCAUAUAUUCAUGCAUUACAAUUCUGAGUUAACAGAUUUAUCUGCACACCCAAUAUAAAUGUUGUUUAGAUAUUUUGUGACCCUGUUACACGCUGUGUUUAAUAUGUUCACUUUAAUAAGUUUUUUAAAAAGCUAGACUACUGCCUGACUCCUCACCAUUAAAGAGAAAAACGUAACCAUAGAAAUGGACUUUCAGAUUGUGAUAUGUUUAUUACUUUAAUUUGA